UUAGCUAGUUGGUGGGGUAAAGGCCUACCAAGGCGACGAUCCAUAGCUGGUCUGAGAGGAUGAUCAGCCACAUUGGGACUGAGACACGGCCCAAACUCCUACGGGAGGCAGCAGUGGGGAAUAUUGGACAAUGGGCGCAAGCCUGAUCCAGCCAUGCCGCGUGAGUGAUGAAGGCCUUAGGGUUGUAAAGCUCUUUCACCGAUGAAGAUAAUGACGGUAGUCGGAGAAGAAGCCCCGGCUAACUUCGUGCCAGCAGCCGCGGUAAUACGAAGGGGGCUAGCGUUGUUCGGAAUUACUGGGCGUAAAGCGCACGUAGGCGGAUAUUUAAGUCAGGGGUGAAAUCCCGCAGCUCAACUGCGGAACUGCCUUUGAUACUGGGUAUCUUGAGUAUGGAAGAGGUAAGUGGAAUUCCGAGUGUAGAGGUGAAAUUCGUAGAUAUUCGGAGGAACACCAGUGGCGAAGGCGGCUUACUGGUCCAUU
rnacentral:rRNA from 1 species